GACGAACGCUGGCGGCGUGCCUAAUACAUGCAAGUCGAACGCAGUGGGGACGGGUGAGUAACACGUGGGUAACCUCCCAUCAGAGGGGAUAACACUUGGCAACAGGUGCUAAACCGAUACGGCUGGAUGGACCCGCGGUGCAUUAGCUAGUGGGUGGGGUAACGGCCCACCAGGGCCACGAUGCAUAGCCGGCCGUAGAGGGGGAUCGGCAACACUGGGACUGAGAAACGGCCCAGACUCCUACGGGAGGCAGCAGUAGGGAAUCUUCGGCAAUGGACGAAAGUCUGACGGAGCCAUGCCGCGUGUGUGAAGAAGGCUUUCGGAUCGUAAAGUUCUGUUGGUAGGGAAGCGGUAUCUAACCAGAAAGCCACGGCUAACUACGUGCCAGCAGCCGCGGUAAUAC
rnacentral:rRNA from 1 species